rnacentral:tRNA from 21 species
GCGCGUGUGGCGGAAUGGCAGACGCACCAGACUUAGGAUCUGGCGUCGUAAGACGUGGGGGUUCAAGUCCCUUCACGCGCACCA